ensembl:lincRNA
CUGGACUUGCAGUUUUAAAAGUAUUUGCAAGUGCUUUACCACAGACCUUAUUGUAAAAUUAAGAACAGUGGGUGGAGUAUUUGAUUUUUUUCGGGGAAAGUUUACAGGUGGUGAUGUCUUUCUAUUAGGAGACUUUAAAAUUUUAAGUAGCACUUUAAAGCAUUCAAUUUCUCCUUGUGAAUCAACCAUUCAACUCUUCACUUGAUACAUAUUAUUGAUUUAUUAUAUGAACCAGACAUGUCCUAAAUACAAGGUCAACCGAGAAGUCUGUUCUCACAGAUAUUACUCUAGAAGAGGAAAACAAUACACACAUGCUAUACUAUAUAUAUCAGUACGUUCAAAGGCUGAUUGAAAUAUACACUUAUUAUUUAAAUUUUUAAAAAAUGACUAUAGUAAAAGACACUGUCAUUAAUCAACCUCAGAAUAUCCCCACUUGUUUCAAAAGCACUAAUCCCAUUGUUCUCAUUACUUUUAGAAGAAGCCAGAAGUCUUCUUUGAUGAGUGUCCUUACUCUGAAGGAUCAAAAAUAUGGUGAUGCUGAGCCCAGGGCGCAUGCAAUGGAAAUGCAGUUUCUGUAAUUGGAAGACGGUGGAUUAUCAAUAAAAGGCACCAUCUAUAAUUUUCAAAAUUGAUGUGAUCGGAAGACGAUCAAACAGAAUAUCAACCAAGCA